rnacentral:lncRNA from 1 species
AAACCGUCAAUUCUCCGAUCUUGGCCAUGUGGGUGGUGGUGAACGUCAAAACUAUCAGCUCUCCCAUCACAGAGUCUCUUUUGACUGGCCAGCUGGUGAUCCUUCGAGAUAUGAAGAGCCAAAUGGAACAAAAUCACCCGAAACAUCCAACAAUGCACCGGAAAAAGCUCCUGAUGCUAGGAAGGAGGAUGGGGAGGAAGAUGGACCAACCCAUGGUAGACGACAUCGAACCAUAACGCUUGG